rnacentral:rRNA from 1 species
UACGUAGGGUGCGAGCGUUAAUCGGAAUUACUGGGCGUAAAGCGUGCGCAGGCGGUUAUUUAAGUCAGGUGUGAAAGCCCUGGGCUUAACCUAGGAAUUGCGCUUGAGACUGGAUAGCUUGGAGUGCGGCAGAGGGAGGUGGAAUUCCACGUGUAGCAGUGAAAUGCGUAGAGAUGUGGAGGAACACCGAUGGCGAAGGCAGCCCCCUGGGUCAACACUGACGCUCAUGCACGAAAGCGUGGGGAGCAAACAGG